rnacentral:rRNA from 1 species
AUGAGAUCAGACCAGCACGUGAUGCCAUAUGGAGAACUUGGGGGCAUUCAAGCUACAGGCCAGCAAGUUACAUGCAUAGGAAGUGAGAUUCUGUCAGCUAGCACCAUGGAUAACAAUAUCUUAGAUGGAUCUAACUCAGAGCAAGUAGGGCCUCUGGAUGGCAACAUAAUUCCUAAUGGGAACAGACUACCCACUGGCAUUGAUCUUUCACAGUGGCUGGAUAUCCUGCAGAACCAGACAUUUGAUGACUCUGUAGUCACAGAAACUCCUCCUUGGGGAGUUUCCAACAAUGCAUUUGAUUCGACUGUCUGCGAAGCUGGAAAUAUGCUUGAUUCGCCUUUCAGUGAUGCUAGCAUAAGCUAUGUGGGACAUUCACCAGUCAGUGAAACAGGCAGGGGACGUUCAUCUUUACCUUUCAGGGGAGCAAGCAGUAGAAGCUACAGGGGACAUUCUGCUUCGCCACUCAGGGGAGCAGGCACUAAAAGCUACCGGCGACAUUCUGCUUCACCACUCAGGGUAGAAGGCUCUAGAAGCUACGAGGGACAUAAUCCUUCACCUGUGUCGGGAGCAGGCAGUACAAGUUAUGCAAGUGCAGAUUUCACAGGCGGAGACAUCUUAUGGUAG